GUUCAAAUCUCCCCCCAGAUGAAACCAGGGUGUCGCCAUCUCUGAGGAUCUGAGUUGUACUGAUGAUAUCAAUUGCAGUGCAAAACUUUAGGAUGGACGGUAAGGAUGAUAGGAGAAGAAGAAAGCAUGCAACUUCAAUUGAUUUCAUCAUGUUUAAUCUCUAUCUUUUGUCUUGACCUUGUAUCUUCAGCUCUCGAUGCAGGGGAUUCAAACAGGAAGAAAACAAUAUUCCCAGUUGUUCAUUAUCUACUGUCUCAAAAUUCUACACGGCUCGUUAACCUGACUUGCAUGGGCUCUAGAUGAUUAAAAUUUCAUCAUUUGGUUCCACAAUGUCAGGCUGCUAAUGAAAAGUAAACUUUUCAAUUGAUUCCAUAAUAUAUUCAAUAUUUGACAUAAGAUAGUCACUUUUUACACCUAUUUUGUAAGCGCAAACGGCUAUGCUUGACCUAAAACAAUAUAUUAUUCUUAUUGAACUAGUGCUUUCUUUAAGUUAUCAAUAAUAGCGGAAUUUAUUUAUUACUGGUAUUGACUUGUUGUUUCUACUGUUUUCAGAUAUAAAUCAGGUGGGAAAGAGCAAGAAAUUGUACUUCAAUCAUGCUUCAUGUGAAGUUGCCAAGAAAAGACGUUCCUCCUUCCUAAUGAAUAUUUAUAGCAAAUAUUCCAAAUGCAACAGAAUUUAGGUAGUGUUUGAUUGGAACCAAUUGCAUAGAAAAUGGAACAAAUUUUUCAUCUUUUACUCAAUUAAUGGUGUUUGAUACCAUUUAUUUUCCAUAAAAUUGGUUUUUUGCUUUUGUUGCCACAUGGACAUUUUCCAUCUAAUUGAGUGAGAAUUCAUUUUCCUGGUUA
rnacentral:lncRNA from 1 species